rnacentral:rRNA from 1 species
UGGCGUAAUGAUGGCCAGGCUGUCUCCACCCGAGACUCAGUGAAAUUGAACUCGCUGUGAAGAUGCAGUGUACCCGCGGCAAGACGGAAAGACCCCGUGAACCUUUACUAUAGCUUGACACUGAACACUGGUCCUUGAUGUGUAGGAUAGGUGGGAGGCUUUGAAGCGUGGACGCCAGUCUGCGUGGAGCCGUCCUUGAAAUACCACCCUUUAAUGGCUGGUGUUCUAACGUAGACCCGUAAUCCGGGUUGCGGACAGUGUCUGGUGGGUAGUUUGACUGGGGCGGUCUCCUCCCAAAGAGUAACGGAGGAGCACGAAGGUUAGCUAAUCCUGGUCGGACAUCAGGAGGUUAGUGCAAUGGCAUAAGCUAGCUUGACUGCGAGAGUGACGGCUCGAGCAGGUGCGAAAGCAGGUCAUAGUGAUCCGGUGGUUCUGAAUGGAAGGGCCAUCGCUCAACGGAUAAAAGGUACUCCGGGGAUAACAGGCUGAUACCGCCCAAGAGUUCAUAUCGACGGCGGUGUUUGGCACCUCGAUGUCGGCUCA